UGUAUGUAAAAAUAUGGGGAAGCAGGUUUUCCACUUACUCACAUAGUACUCCAACUUGAUUGAUUUUUUUUUUUUAAUUUUUUUGACGGGAACUUGAUUGAAAUUCUAAAUAUACUACAAUAUUUUUAUUUGCCUUUUAGGAGCCUAUUGCUACUUGCUAGUAGCCGCCACUUUUUCUUUCAUUUCAUGGAAGGCAAAGCAUAAUCAAUUAUCAUGAACGUAAGAUAGUUUCUGGUUAGUUGGUCAAUUAUCAUGGAGGAAAUUAGAUUAACUAUAAUAAUUAACCAAGGUUAGGACUAUUUAACAGAAAAAGGUUCAUUAAACAUGCAAAUAACCUACUAAUGUCACAUUUAAUGAUUAAUUAUUAAUUUGGGGUUAUAUUUGAUAAUUUUGAAAAUUGGAAGUUAUGAUUGAGAAAUUUAAAAAGUAGAGGGUUACCGUUGGAAAUUUCCCAUCUUUAUUUUAAUUUAAGGCCCAAAAUAAUUACCUCAAAAGAUUAAACGUUUCUCAUUUCUCUGUUUGAAGCCCUAACACUCACUGAAACGCAGCUCUUGAUAGAACUUUGCUCGAAUCAAAGCUCAAAAUUGAAGAGAAUUAAUGGGUUUUUAAAGUCAUAAGAAUUAAUGUUCAAAUGAGGUUGAUGAUUCUAGAAAUUUAGAAACAGACUUUUGUGAUCUUGAUGGGUAUGCAACGGGAACGGAAACAGGAACAGGAACAGGAACAUCCGGAACAGAGAGCUUCGAUGAUGCCAAUGAUAAGAAUUUUGGUUAUAAUGAAGAGUAGUUGUUGUUAGUUUGUUGAUUAUUCAGUUUUUUAGCUUUUAUGAUGUUUGAACUAUGUUUUUCUUAUACUAUUUGGACUAUGUACGCUUUAAAAUAUUUGUAAAAUCAUCUUAAUUAUGUAACAACGAUCAUAUAUGAGCAAAAGUGUGUUUUCUAACAA